ACUGCUUCUCGGUCUUUUGGCUAAGAUCAAGUGUAGUAUCUGUUAUUAUCAGUUUAAUUAUCUGAUAUGUCCUCUAUCCGAGGACAAUAUAUUAAAUGAAUUUUUGGAAUAGAGAGUCGGAAUAAGAGUUGCUCUGUGUGCUUUGAGCUUUGACCGGGUAUUGCAGUAGCUCCAGAAAUGGUGCACCAAAG